CUCCAGUGUAUAUACUCCUCGUGGCUGAUAUCAAAUGGCGGCAUAUUGUAUAAUGUCAUCUCCAGAUGUACUAGCAACUAUAGAGGAUAAUACACUGGCCCUAGCCUUUAUAGCAAUGAUGAUAGUACAUGUUGGGAUAUCAGUAUACAAUGGAAUAAGGAACAAAGGGAGAGAGGACAAAAAA